GACCCUGAAAAUUCAGUUUUUAUAUCAGAUUCUGUAAUCAUUUUGAUCUUGCUUAUAUCAGCCCGUAACAACAAACAUUUAUACUAAAUCAACAUUUUAGUUUUGAAAAAUGAAAAGAUCAUUUAUAUUUUUUGUCUCAUUAAAUGCUACAUUUUUUUUUUAUAUAUAUUCCAUUUUAAUAGAACUCAAAUUCACAGGAUCAUAGAGGAAGAAGAUUUGUUUAUUAUCAUAAAAGAUUUCUGUAUUGUCUUAGAUAUUAGCCCAAGACAUAGCUGAGGGACAGCUUAUAAAGGGGAGGCAAGUCAUCUAAAACCAUCAUAUUUGAUCUUUAUAUGAACAAGGAUAGUAACGUUAGUAGGUAUUGAAUUACAGUACUUUAGACUGAAAUACAUGUUAACAUUAGGAUGAAUUUUAUGAACAUAAAACCAUAUUUUUUGUUCACUUUCUACAAUCCAUAGAUAAUAGUGCUGUAUAAUCUGUCUCAGUAUGUUCCACAUAUAAGUCAUGUAUACAUUUGUAAUAUAUAUAUGUCAUGUAUGUGAUCAGGUGCUGUCAUACUUUGUUUAAAUAAAUAUAUAUGUGUAAAAUUUCUGUAACCAUGACAUACAUAAAAGGUGACAAGUAUGGAAGAAAAAUGUUAUUGAUAAGUUUUUUGGGUUGUUUUUAACUUUACUUAUCAGAAAGGUUUAUUCUGAACUUCAUCUUUUUAUCAUUUGAGGUUAAAAAUACAAGAUAAUGUGUUAAUCUGAUCCAUUGAACAUUGGGUACAAGUUUGAGGUCAAAGGUUUUUACUUUUAUUGUAUGUCUUUUUAAUAUAGGGAUUCUAUAAUUUUGAACGUUUUCUUCAAAACCAUUUUAAAUAACUAUGCCAAAUGAACCAAUGAAAGCAUUCUUCCUGUUUCUUAAAAAUAGCCAUAUUAGAACAAAUUUUUAUGAAUUUUAGAUGCAUAUUUAUAUGUUGUGUACAUUUUUGACAAUGAAAAUGUUUUGAGAUGAUGAUUUAUUUUGAAAUUCUAGUCAUUUUUAUCAGUUAUAAACUGUCAACUUUUUAAAUCUUUUAAAAUGUUUUGAUUACUGUUUUACAUACAUGUGUUUUUUGUUUUGAAUAUUUUUCAGCAUUUAUAAGCAAACACUUACCUUUUACAUUUUCUAUAUAACAUUUUAAUAGUACAAUCAAAAUAUAAACUGGUUUAUUUUAUCUUUAUCUAUUUGCAUAUUAAUUAUGUUAGUGUUUUCCAUACAUUUUUUCUCAGUUAGUGAAAUUUCGAACACUUAGAAAAAAUACCUUAAUAUGGAAACACUUCAAGUCUAACGUUAGAAUUAAAUAAUGAUUUGAAUUGUCAUAUGCACUGUUUUAUUCUAGAACUGACACCAAUGGACCAAUUUUUAAAUCUUAUGGUCUCGUCAUGAAAAACUAUUAUAAUAGAAAAAUAGAAACAAAAUUGGACUGGAUGUUUUGUCCUCACAUUAAAAAGGUUUUUCACAUGGAUAGAUUAGAAAUACUAGAGAGAAUACUAACAAACUCAAAAUUAUACACACACAUACUUAGAAUCCAAUGUUAUUAAUGUGUGCAGUUUUAUGAUCAAAACUUGAAAGUUUUAAAAACCUGUAUAUGACCGUUAAAAUUUUGAUAACUCAAAAUAUGAUUUUGUUAUUGGUUCAGCUGUUUUGUUAUUUGAUUAAGACUUUUUAGCUGUAAGUGGGUAUUUUGUUUUGUUAUGGUUUAAGAUUAAUAUUUAAUGUGAAUAUUAAGAAAUGUGACAAAUACACACACUUGUAUUGAAAUUUGUUGAACUAUGGAAAUCCAAAUCUAGCUCACCUGGCUUAGAGGCCCAUAUGAGCUUGUAUGUCAUCCUUAUUUGUUAGUAAAUAAAAUUUACUCUGAAAACACUGAUAAUUAAACCCAGUUUUGAUGUGACUCAUCCUUAGGAUGUAUAUUUCUAUACAUGUUUUACCUUACAUCUAUCUAACAUAAUUAUCAUUACUGUAAAUAGAACACAACUAACACCCACGAAUAGGAAAAACUUGCAAUAAAAAAACCAUUUUUGACUGGAAUUCUGCAGAAUAUUUUCCCAUGAAGUUAAGCAUUUGAAUGGUCCAUGUGUAUAGUGAGGUCAACUGUCUAUUCAUGCUCCAUCAAACUACUCAUCAAAAAGGAUGAAAAAUCAUCAAAAUUAUGGUUUCUAGUGGUCUGCUUUAGACAAAACAUUAAUAAAAAAAAAAGUUACUUUUUUAUUGUUCUCAAGUCAACAAAUUUCAAUGUCUGACAUAGUUAUAAGUUCAGCAUGAUAUUUGAGAACCUGAACUCAACUUUUUGUCUUUUGGGUUUCAAGAGAGGUUCUACUUUUAUUUUCCAAAUUAAGUUGAAUAUUUUCCAUCUAAAUAAGUGAUUAUUGGGGUGUAAGUUUAUCAUUGAAUCAUGGAUUGUGUGCAUAUGUAUACAAAUUGUGUAUUGUGAUUGCUUAUUAUUAUAGAUAAUUCUAGGCAUUUAUUGUCGGGUUUGUAAAACCUGUAUGUCCACAGAUAGAGUGCAACUCAUUUAAUAAAUUAUGUCUCAGAUUUUGUCGGUGUUAGUCAUAUUUUACAAAUUAUUAGUCAAAGAAACGGUA
rnacentral:lncRNA from 1 species